AGAAGCUGCAUUUACAGGAACAUGUUUGGUGACAAGAAGAUAGUAUUUCUCUUCCCAUUCCCAUCUCCAUGAGUACCUGAACAGAGGGUUUGCAGUUUUCUCUGGAAGACCAUCUGAGUGAAGGAAGAGAGAGAGGCUAUAUGAGGGACAACUGCUGUAAAAGCACGGGGAAGAGUGCCAUUUCUUACAAAGUUACAGACUGAAAUGUCGAGGCAACCGUGAUGUUCGUUGCUUUGGGGAGCCUGCGGCUUGGCCAUAUACUGAGGUGACACCCAUAUGAUGAACGAAUAGCUUUAAUCAGCAAUUGGCUGAAGAAAACUCCAUGGGACUUAGCGGUAGCAAGGCUCAUUAAAUUACAUGAGGAGCAUUCUGCACAUUCAACUGAUGGUGAAAGCAUAAGGACCAAGAAGAUCUUAGAGCGAUUUGAGGAACAGAGAAGGCAAAGAACAGUUUGGAAUGACCUGAGAGACAGUGCCUGUGUAUUUCUUUCAAGCCUAUCAUGCUUGCUGUCAUCUUCAGAACUACAGUUUUUAAAAAAAUAAAGUUGCCUAUGUGGUUUUAUUUACUAUAUCAACCAUGGAAGAAGGGAACUAAAUUCAGUGACUGAUGGGUCUGACAGCCAAAAUGUUCAUAUAGUCUCUGAUGGGUGCAUUUACUUCUUCGUGUGUUUAAGAGUCCUUGAAUUCCAAACAUUUAAAUAGAUUAUUGCAAAUAUAUUUUUCAUUUCUUGGUCAAGUCCAGAGUAAUAG
ensembl:lncRNA